UACAGAGGUCCCAAGCGUUGCUCGGAAUCACUGGGCGUAAAGGGUGCGUAGGCGGGUCUUUAAGUCAGGGGUGAAAUGCCGGGGCUCAACCUCGGAACUGCCUUUGAUACUGGAUGUCUGGAGUUCGGGAGAGGUGAGUGGAAUUCCAGGUGUAGCGGUGAAAUGCGUAGAUAUCUGGAGGAACACCGGUGGCGAAGGCGACAUCCUGGACCGGUAUUGACGCUGAGGCGCGAAAGCUAGGGGAGCAAACGGG
rnacentral:rRNA from 1 species